ensembl:lncRNA
CCCAGCGUAAAGCACAAGGCUGGCGUGCAGAGUGAAGCGGAAAAAAAGUGCGAGAGAGAGGGUGAGAGAAAGAAAAAAACAAAACAAAAACACGGCUCACGAUAAGGAGCCUGAUCGCGUCGUUCAUGUCAAAGACCCAGCUCUAAGAACCAUUUCGUUUGCGACAGACACAUCACUACUGCCUGCGAGUUUGCUGCAGACAGAGGAGAGCUUAAGUUUUACCAGUUCCAUCGUUACACCACCGCUCCAACUGAACUCGCCUUUUGGAUACUGGUUAUAACUAUCAUUGGAAUUACACCACACUCCAAUCUCUAGGAGGGAAAUUUCCACAACUCACUGCCAGCCCUUCUUCCACCGUCACUCACAGGGAAUCCUGGAAUCCAGGUCAGCUCUUCAUCUCUGCACCCAACUCACCACUUAGACCUUUGUUUUGUGUGAAUUUAACUCAGGUGUCUCCGUACCUGGUUCUGCACUUGAGUCCAGUUCUGUACAGGCCUUUGGCCCCUGCUGACACUUGCCCCUGCUGGCAGCAUUUUAUCCUUUAAGCUGGAAGUUUGAGUGUUCUGUGCAGUGUAUUUGCUGUUCCUAAGUCUCUUCUAGACAGAGAUCUCAGAUGUCAUUCCUGGGAUCUGCUGGAGCCACUUAUUGAGUUUGGAGGUCACAUGCUCCAGUUACCACAGUUGGCUUUAACUUUCGCAUCUUUUAUGCCUUUCUUCCACUUAUGGUACAGAAAACAACAAUGGUGGAGUUUGCGUUCUCUAGUCGCAUGACAGUGGGCGAAACAUUUCAUCACUCACCCUAAUGACUUCUUCAGUCAAUCGCUCAAGUACGGCAUCAGUCCUCCCAGCACGCCAGGCUCUGUGCUUUCGUUUUCUCCUCAUCAUUGUACAUUUACCCUGUCACUGCAAAUAGCUCUCACCUUUGUAAAUACCCCGUCACUGUAAAUAAACCUAAUUCACUGCACUCCCGAGCCUCUGUGUGUUUCUGUCACAUGAGUCCACCCUUUAGAGUCACCUAACAGGAUUGGAUAUCGGGGAGAAAUAAAAAUAUGUAACCCAAUCCAAUAAAUAUCACAAAAAAACCUCACAAAACUUGUGACAUGGCAUAACCAAGGUCAUGACCUUAGCACAUCGGAACAGUAU